AAAAGAAGUUUGACUUUUAUUUUAAAAAUCUAUAAAGUAAUACAAACGGGUGAUGGUGAUGAACCGACAGUGUAAAACUUUUUACACUGACUGACGUUGGAUAUUAAAAGAAGUUUGACUUUUAUUUUAAAAAUCUAUAAAGUAAUACAAACGGGUGAUGGUGAUGAACCGACAGUGUAAAACUUUUUACACUGACAGUGUAUAGUAAUUAAUCUCUUAU
rnacentral:lncRNA from 1 species